UACGUAGGGUGCGAGCGUUGUCCGGAAUUACUGGGCGUAAAGAGCUCGUAGGUGGUUUGUCGCGUUGUUCGUGAAAUCUCACGGCUUAACUGUGAGCGUGCGGGCGAUACGGGCAGACUGGAGUACUGCAGGGGAGACUGGAAUUCCUGGUGUAGCGGUGGAAUGCGUAGAUAUCUGGAGGAACACCGGUGGCGAAGGCGGCCAUCUGGGCAACAACUGACGCUGAGGCGCGAGAGCGUGGGGGAGCAAACAGG
rnacentral:rRNA from 1 species